CUUCCUCUCUCAGGGGUCUUUUCGAAGAGAGGUGACUCUGGCUUUGUGGUGGAGAGGUGGCUGGUGGCAGCAUGCUGGGCGUCCUGGUAUCUUGGCGUGGCUGCAGCUAUUGUUCAGGACUAAAUGAAGAGUAGAUCACCUUAACAAGGAAGAAAAGACAAACUUACACAGAAGCAAAUCAACCAACAAAAGCCUUGAAUUCGGGGAAAUGGCAACAUCUACUGCAAAUCAAGACACCUGACAUCAAAGCUGCAGAGACGAAAAUGUUGAUUUCAAAGAACCUUUUGUAGGAGCAAACGUUCACAUUUGAAUCCCACGACGUCUAUUUUUAGCUUGUGGAUCUAGACCAUCAGAGCUGGAGUUCCUAAGAAAUACUGUCUCGAGGUCAGAUUUCCGGCAUCAAAGGGUUUGGGGGAAAGGAAGACCGCCCGCACAUGCCACAAGGACUGCAGUCCUUCUCUACACCUAGGGAAAUAGCGAAGCCCUUCCUACCCUCAAAACCCAUCCUGCCCAACACCAUCUCUCCACAAUCACAGCCACGGACAUGUACUAUUUUUUAAUAUUGUUAUGGUUUUGUGUCGAAAAUGUACAUGUAAAAUUAUGUUCCACAAAUGCAUUUUGCAAACAUUUUUACAAAUAAAGAAAGAGAAAAAAAUGACAUUUUCUGCAAUGUUCAA